rnacentral:rRNA from 1 species
AUGCAAGACUACUUCGACGAGGUACCUACAUACCCUCCUCGCCUCUUCCGCAGAAGGUACCGAAUGCGCCGUAGUCUUUUUGUGAAGAUUGUCACCGAUUGUGAGGCGGCCUCCCAUUAUUUCAAGCGUCGUAGAUCCGCCGCCGGUAUCAUGGGGUUUAGUGCAUACCAAAAGAUAUCGGCGGCAAUGCGGGUACUCGCCUAUGGUUUGUAA